rnacentral:rRNA from 1 species
GACGAACGCUGGCGGCGUGCCUAAUACAUGCAAGUCGAACGCAUUUUCUUUCACCGUAGCUUGCUACACCGAAAGAAAAUGAGUGGCGAACGGGUGAGUAACACGUGGGUAACCUGCCCAUCAGCGGGGGAUAACACUUGGAAACAGGUGCUAAUACCGCAUAAUUCCAUUUACCGCAUGGUAAAUGGAUGAAAGGCGCUUUUGCGUCACUGAUGGAUGGACCCGCGGUGCAUUAGCUAGUUGGUGGGGUAACGGCCUACCAAGGCUGCGAUGCAUAGCCGACCUGAGAGGGUGAUCGGCCACACUGGGACUGAGACACGGCCCAGACUCCUACGGGAGGCAGCAGUAGGGAAUCUUCGGCAAUGGACGCAAGUCUGACCGAGCAACGCCGCGUGAUUGAAGAAGGGUUUCGGAUCGUAAAACUCGGUUGUUAGAGAAGAACAAGGAUGAGAGUGGAAAGUUCAUCCCUUGACGGUAUCUAACCAGAAAGCCACGGCUAACUACGUG